CACGACUGAUGCGACUUAGCAGCAGCAGCAGCAGCAGCAUACACACACACACACACACACACACACAUAUAUAUAUACACCUAUAUAUAUAUAACUGAAUCCCUUUUCUUUACAUCUGAAAGUAACACAACAUUGUAAGUCUACUAUAGUUCAAUAAAAAAACAAAAUAAAUAAACAAAACCAUUCCAAUAAUCAGUUCAGUCAGUUCACUCCCUCAGUCAUGUCCGACUCUUUGUGACCCCAUGGACUGCAGCACGCCAGGCCUCCCUAUCCAUCACCAGCUCCUGGAACUUGCUCAAACUUACGGCCAUCGAGUUGGUGAUGCCAUCCAACCAUCUCAUCUCCUCCUGCUUUCAAUCUUUCUGACUAUUCCAAUAGUCAGAAAGCCUUAAAAAUAAACAAAAUGUUUAAAACAAAAAAUAAAAUGUAUUAUUUUAAAAUAAACUCUUAAUCUUGCAACCAUUGUAGACUUACAGAGGAGUUACACAAGCAGUCUGGAGGGUUUCUUCUACUUCUUACCCAGUUUUCCCCGUGUUAUCAUUUUACACAACUGCGGUGGCAACAUUGGAACAUUAUCACUGUAAACUCCAGACUGUUUUCGGAUGUCACCAGUGUUUCCACAAAUGUCCUUUUUCUUUUCCCGGAUCCAGUCCAGGAUACCACAUUGCAUUUAAUCAGUUUGCUUUCCACAGAGAUGCCCUGGAAGCUGACUGGGGGACAGAUUGAUGUCAACAACAACCGUAGCCUCUAAGAACCAAGUGCCACGUGCCUGGCACCAUCCUGAGAAGCACUUUCGAGUCCCCCCCCUCUACUGUCUUGCUGAACCAUUGGCCACUCCCCAGGGCCCUCUGAGAACAGAAACUGUGCUGCAGCCCCGGACACCAGGCUCAGAAGAGGAGGAUGAGUUCCUGCAGCCUGACUGCCCGCCCUACCCCAGAACGUGGUGGCAAAGCCAGUGGAGCAGGGGCCCCAAGGGGAGGGUCGAGGGAGGCAGAGGUGAUGGGGUGGAGGUGUUUGAGAUUUGGCUUCUCCAUUUUCUUGUUCCUGCGAUAGCUCCCAGGAAUCCUUAGGGCCAUGGAUUCUCAAGUGACUGUCAUGACUCUGCGUUUUUAUCUGGGGGAAAAAAACAAAACAAGUGAUUACAAUAUGUAAAGCGAAUGCAGUGUUCUCAGGAAAUCUGAAUGGUUGCCAUAAAUACCAUCCUUUCACGCUGGGAAAGGUGUGAUCCUAUGUGGGGCAGUGGAGCCUGUUACCUAGGCCAGACCCCAGUUGAGCAGCUCUGAGAGGUGCUAGGUGUGUGACCUCUGGCAGGUUCCUAAGCUGUGGGCAAUGCCCUCCAGCCAAUGCUCCGAGAACACAGCUGUAAAGGAAUG
rnacentral:lncRNA from 1 species